rnacentral:rRNA from 1 species
GGCAGUGGGGGCGGCUAUACAUGCAGUAGAACGCUGAAGAGAGGAGCUUGCUCUUCUUGGAUGAGUUGCGAACGGGUGAGUAACGCGUAGGUAACCUGCCUUGUAGCGGGGGAUAACUAUUGGAAACGAUAGCUAAUACCGCAUAACAAUGGAUGACACAUGUCAUUUAUUUGAAAGGGGCAAUUGCUCCACUACAAGAUGGACCUGCGUUGUAUUAGCUAGUAGGUGAGGUAAUGGCUCACCUAGGCGACGAUACAUAGCCGACCUGAGAGGGUGAUCGGCCACACUGGGACUGAGACACGGCCCAGACUCCUACGGGAGGCAGCAGUAGGGAAUCUUCGGCAAUGGGGGCAACCCUGACCGAGCAACGCCGCGUGAGUGAAGAAGGUUUUCGGAUCGUAAAGCUCUGUUGUAAGUCAAGAACGGGUGUGAGAGUGGAAAGUUCACACUGUGACGGUAGCUUACCAGAAAGGGACGGCUAACUACGUGCCAGCAGCCGCGGUAAUACGUAGGUCCCGAGCGUUGUCCGGAUUUAUUGGGCGUAAAGCGAGCGCAGGCGGUUUGAUAAGUCUGAAGUUAAAGGCUGUGGCUCAACCAUAGUUCGCUUUGGAAACUGUCAAACUUGAGUGCAGAAGGGGAGAGUGGAAUUCCAUGUGUAGCGGUGAAAUGCGUAGAUAUAUGGAGGAACACCGGUGGCGAAAGCGGCUCUCUGGUCUGUAACUGACGCUGAGGCUCGAAAGCGUGGGGAGCGAACAGGAUUAGAUACCCUGGUAGUCCACGCCGUAAACGAUGAGUGCUAGGUGUUGGAUCCUUUCCGGGAUUCAGUGCCGCAGCUAACGCAUUAAGCACUCCGCCUGGGGAGUACGACCGCAAGGUUGAAACUCAAAGGAAUUGACGGGGGCCCGCACAAGCGGUGGAGCAUGUGGUUUAAUUCGAAGCAACGCGAAGAACCUUACCAGGUCUUGACAUCCCGAUGCUAUUUCUAGAGAUAGAAAGUUACUUCGGUACAUCGGUGACAGGUGGUGCAUGGUUGUCGUCAGCUCGUGUCGUGAGAUGUUGGGUUAAGUCCCGCAACGAGCGCAACCCCUAUUGUUAGUUGCCAUCAUUCAGUUGGGCACUCUAGCGAGACUGCCGGUAAUAAACCGGAGGAAGGUGGGGAUGACGUCAAAUCAUCAUGCCCCUUAUGACCUGGGCUACACACGUGCUACAAUGGUUGGUACAACGAGUUGCGAGUCGGUGACGGCGAGCUAAUCUCUUAAAGCCAAUCUCAGUUCGGAUUGUAGGCUGCAACUCGCCUACAUGAAGUCGGAAUCGCUAGUAAUCGCGGAUCAGCACGCCGCGGUGAAUACGUUCCCGGGCCUUGUACACACCGCCCGUCACACCACGAGAGUUUGUAACACCCGAAGUCGGUGAGGUAACCUUUUGGAGCCAGCCGCCUAAGUGAAAAAGAU